AUUUCGCAAGAUGCUUUUUUCGCUGGUGCGUUUAUUGUUUGGUUUCCGCUCGCUUGCGGCGACGCCAUCGACACCUGCAGCUCAGAAGAGAGUCUUUCCAGCAUUGCUAGCCAUUUCCGGCAGUAUCCUGAUGCUGGAAAAUUCAUCAAUCACACGGAGUCGCUGUACUGUUUGGUGUACCAUUCCGCAGACAGAAAUUUCAGACACAGGAUGCCCUGCCUAUGCGCCCGCGCGUCGUUUAUUGGGAAACAUGGAGAACCUCACACUUUAUUGUACCAAUACUCGCCCAACAAAACACACCUAUACACUGGAGUAACAAAAGCGCGAACGAACAGAACAGAUGGAGCCUUCCGAAAAGAUAAUCAGAUCGUUAUUGAAUACGUUAAAAAUUUCGAACUUUACACAGAAACAAUCAGGAUCCUAUUCACAGAUUAUCAAAGCUGUGCGGUGCUUAACUCGACAAUCUUGGGUGCCAUGUUGUGGGUUAGGCUCGACCACCUACUCAAAGAAGAACAAAUGCCUUACUUGUGCACGCUUACGUAUCAGCUCACCGCUCAAGACACUCGCCACAUGGACUACGACUGGAAGGUGUGCCCGGAGAUGAGAAGCUACAAGGAGAAUACAAAGAGACCAAACGGCAAACCGCACAAAAAAUCUCGAUAAGCCCUGCGACGCUCAUCUUUUCUUUCUUCUUUUUGUUGUUCUUUCAAGGAGUAAAACUUCCUGA